AGCGAACGCUGGCGGCAGGCCUAACACAUGCAAGUCGAACGGAUCCUUCGGGAUUAGUGGCGGACGGGUGAGUAACACGUGGGAACGUGCCCUUUGGUUCGGAACAACUCAGGGAAACUUGAGCUAAUACCGGAUGUGCCCUUCGGGGGAAAGAUUUAUCGCCAUUGGAGCGGCCCGCGUCUGAUUAGCUAGUUGGUGAGGUAACGGCCCACCAAGGCGACGAUCAGUAGCUGGUCUGAGAGGAUGAUCAGCCACACUGGGACUGAGACACGGCCCAGACUCCUACGGGAGGCAGCAGUGGGGAAUCUUGCGCAAUGGGCGAAAGCCUGACGCAGCCAUGCCGCGUGAAUGAUGAAGGUCUUAGGAUUGUAAAAUUCUUUGAGCGGGGACGAUAAUGACGGUACCCGCAGAAGAAGCUCCGGCUAACUUCGUG
rnacentral:rRNA from 1 species